AUUGAACGCUGGCGGCAGGCUUAACACAUGCAAGUCGAGCGAGCGGUGGACGGGUGAGUAAUGUCUGGGAAACUGCCUGAUGGAGGGGGAUAACUACUGGAAACGGUAGCUAAUACCGCAUACCAUCAGAUGUGCCCAGAUGGGAUUAGCUAGUAGGGGGGGUAAUGGCUCACCUAGGCGACGAUCCCUAGCUGGUCUGAGAGGAUGACCAGCCAAACGGGAACUGGGACACGGUCAAGACUCCUACGGGGGGCAGCAGGGGGGAAUAUGGCACAAUGGGCGAAAGCCUGAUGAAGCCAUGCCGCGUGUGUGAAGAAGGCCUUGGGGUUGUAAAGCACUUUAAGCGAGGAGGCGUUACUCGCAGAGGAAGCACCGGCUAACUCCGUGCCAGCAGCCGCGGUAAUAC
rnacentral:rRNA from 1 species